AACGUAGGGGGCUAGCGUUGUUCGGAAUUACUGGGCGUAAAGCGCGUGUAGGCGGCUUGGCAAGUCGGAAGUGAAAGCCCCAGGCUCAACUUGGGAAUUGCUUUCGAAACUGCCUAGCUUGAGUGCGGGAGGGGAGAGCGGAAUUCCAGGUGUAGCGGUGAAAUGCGUAGAUAUCUGGAGGAACACCGGUGGCGAAGGCGGCUCUCUGGACCGUAACUGACGCUGAGACGCGAAAGCGUGGGUAG
rnacentral:rRNA from 1 species